UACGUAGGGUGCGAGCGUUAAUCGGAAUUACUGGGCGUAAAGCGUGCGCAGGCGGUUCGUUGUGUCUGAUGUGAAAGCCCCGGGCUCAACCUGGGAAUGGCAUUGGAAACUGGCGAGCUAGAGUGUGGCAGAGGGGGGUGUAAUUCCGCGUGUAGCAGUGAAAUGCGUAGAGAUGCGGAGGAACACCGAUGGCGAAGGCAGCCCCCUGGGCUGACACUGACGCUCAGGCACGAAAGCGUGGGGAGCAAACAGG
rnacentral:rRNA from 1 species